rnacentral:misc_RNA from 1 species
UCCAGCUUAUUGCUGGCGGUCUCCUGCGAGUUCCGCCUUUCGGCAUGGCAACACAGGACGAGGGUUGCGCUCGUUGCGGGACUUAACCCAACAUCUCACGACACGAGCUGACGACAGCCAUGCAGCACCUCGACCGGACCUCCUUGCGGAGUAGCAGUAUUUCUACCACCGUUAACCGGCCGUUCGAGCCCAGGUAAGGUUCUUCGCGUUGCGUCGAAUUGAACCACAUAU